CGCAUGUGUGUGUAAAAUUACAGUUUUCGCUAUUAAAUGUGAUUGUCUAGUUAAUUGAGAUUUUGUCUUCAACUGCUUAGUAUCAAGCAAUUGGCGAAGAAGAAAGAGUCGACUAAAGAAAGAGAGCAUAUAAAAGAUAUUGGAAAUAUAUAUGCAUGAAAUGAUAAAGGCCAAGCAAGGUAACAAGAUUAAAGUGGGAUGUUUUCAACAUUUUUCACCAUCAAUAGGCAGUCCACCCAGCUUGAAGAGACGUCACUGAGCUGUGCACAGCAUUGUGAAGUUUGCACAUUAGUUUUUACACUCAUGCUUAGAUUAUCUUCUUUAGUCAUUUGCACUGCAAACGAGGAAGAAAAAUAUUGUUCUGACUUAAAAUGUAUUAAGUACAUUCAAAAUAUACUUUUGGUGGUUUUAAUCCAAUAUAGGUCAAUGGAAUAUUAGACAGUGGCAGUUUAAACCAGUUAUCCAACAGUAUUACACAGGCUAAAUACGGCUCCCGUAAUGAAAGUGUUAAGGAGAGCAAUCUCUUAGUUUGACUCUGCAUGUAAAAUUUUAUAUCUAAGCAUGUAUGAAUAAAUAUCCAUAAGGGAAA